rnacentral:lncRNA from 1 species
GGGGAAUGGACACUGACAUAUAUUUUUAGAAUAUAUUUCAACCGACAAGUUAUGUAUACAACAUAUGUAUUUAGCAGUAAGCAAGUUCUGUUGCACUCGGAGAGAGGACAUAUAUUUUGACCGACAGGUUACGAAACAUAAAACAAAUUAGUUAAUUACAGAAAACAACUACUUUCAAGCCAUGGUUUGCAGCAAAACACCAAGUCUCGUUUUGGCUGCACACACCACCUUGGUGUCAUCAGGAAGCGCCUGAUCCCUUGAAGUUCGUAGAUGAAAAUGACAAAGGUAUUAAUUCUGUGCUAAAUUAUGCAAUCAUCCAGUCUGUGUCAACUGGAUGUUGAUUCUACAAUCUCUGUUAUCAGGACUCGACUAAGCUGUUGCUCCCGGCUCAGAUGUCAUGGACGACGCCUCUGGUUGGAAUGUCGGUAUGGUAAGCACUGCUCUCAGCAGCCUUGGGAUGGGCCUGUUGUGGCUCGAAGUAGCACUGAAGUAAAUCGCAACCCUUGACAUCAGCGACAACAUAGAUGUGGCGGACUGGUGGCCAACCGAGUGGAGUUGCUUGAUCCUCGAAAGUAAGCUCCAGGACCUGAUCCAAAACUUCGAGUGAGUUGAAGUGAAGUGAAAUUGUUUUUGUAGUCUUUUUUAGAGAAGAGUUUUGUAGUUUAGAGAGAGCAAAACCAGAAGGAUUUGGGAGCCAAGUCUUUCGGAGAAGCACCGUCAGGGGAGCAGUUGUAGAUAGUUUAGCAAUGGUUAUCUGACCAUGUUCUGUGGUCUAUCAUUUACUAGACCUAAUUUCUUAUUUACUCUACUCCCUUGUAUCACUGAUAGACCAAGAAUAGACUAAAAUAAGUAGUCCUGUUUAGGGUUUGUCUCUUCCCAGUUCCCAAGUGCU